CGUGAGACAGUUCGGUCCCUAUCUGCCGUGGGCGCUGGAGAACUGAGGGGGGCUGCUCCUAGUACGAGAGGACCGGAGUGGACGCAUCACUGGUGUUCGGGUUGUCAUGCCAAUGGCACUGCCCGGUAGCUAAAUGCGGAAGAGAUAAGUGCUGAAAGCAUCUAAGCACGAAACUUGCCCCGAGAUGAGUUCUCCCUGACUCCUUGAGAGUCCUGAAGGAACGUUGAAGACGACGACGUUGAUAGGCCGGGUGUGUAAGCGCAGCGAUGCGUUGAGCUAACCGGUACUAAUGAACCGUGAGGCUUAACCUU
rnacentral:rRNA from 1 species